AAACAUGGUCAGCAUUAAACAGUUUUGUGUUGUUCAGCACUGUGAGUGAGCGCGUCAGCAGGUGAGGAAAAAUUUGUGCUUAGGAAAAAUAGUCUGCCUGAAAUCCAAGGACCCAAGAGGUCUGCGUGAGAACAUCUGGGGGUGCGAUGGGUGGGGCGCAGGAAAACAGACUAAUGUAUCUGUCUGCUAUCUUCUGCGACCUACUAUGACUUAAAUCAAACCAACAAGCAUUUUAUGAGUGUUUAUUCUGGGUUAAAGACUUUGCUAGUAUUCCUUUUGGCUAUUUACUUCUGUAAGCUUUAAGAAGAACUGGCUAUUCACUUGUUUAUUUCUUCAUUUAUUCACUUAGGAAAGCUGACUGCACAUCGACAGUGUAUGAGCCUGGAGAGGGUUCUCUCUCUUGUAGGAGAGGGGAACCACAUCUAAACAGUCAUGGCUGCAGAGAAGGAAUGUUCACAUUCAGGAGAAUUUUUGGCUCUAUGGUGGUUAAGAACAUGACUUCACGUCUGUGAGUUUGGGUUACAUCUCUCUUGAUUUGUAGUGUCUUUGUGAAAUGGAAAUAAAAAUACCUAGUCCACAGGACUACUGAAAAAA
rnacentral:lncRNA from 1 species